rnacentral:rRNA from 1 species
GACGAACGCUGGCGGCGUGCCUAAUACAUGCAAGUAGAACGCUGAAGGAGGAGCUUGCUUCUCUGGAUGAGUUGCGAACGGGUGAGUAACGCGUAGGUAACCUGCCUGGUAGCGGGGGAUAACUAUUGGAAACGAUAGCUAAUACCGCAUAAUAGUAGAUGUUGCAUGACAUUUGCUUAAAAGGUGCAAUUGCAUCACUACCAGAUGGACCUGCGUUGUAUUAGCUAGUUGGUGAGGUAACGGCUCACCAAGGCAACGAUACAUAGCCGACCUGAGAGGGUGAUCGGCCACACUGGGACUGAGACACGGCCCAGACUCCUACGGGAGGCAGCAGUAGGGAAUCUUCGGCAAUGGACGGAAGUCUGACCGAGCAACGCCGCGUGAGUGAAGAAGGUUUUCGGAUCGUAAAGCUCUGUUGUAAGAGAAGAACGAGUGUGAGAGUGGAAAGUUCACACUGUGACGGUAUCUUACCAGAAAGGGACGGCGAACUACGU